AUGAAGGAGAUGAACUCAGUAUCCUUGCUCACAAUCAGGUUCCUGUUUCAGUGUGUUCCAGGUUAUGGGCUAUUAACAUUAUCAUGGGAUCCAGGACAGCACGCAGUUGAUUCGGUUGCAACUAUUUGCGAUCAAGGUAUCCGUGCCAUUUGUCACCAGCAACUUUCGGUCCAUAAUAGGCUACAGAUUGCAUGGUCAUUCGUUUGGGAAUUCUCUUGUGUUGGAUCAAGGAGGACUGCUGUCAGCUUCUUAUUCGAUUCAGCUGGUGGUUUGGCAGUUGUUGUAUUCAGUACACGGUGCUCGGUUCUUGCAUUUUGUGUUGCCAAUAUAGUACCAUUUUCUGAUCCAGUUGAGUCAGAUUCUACUCCGCAAAUAAUCGAGACGAGGCUUGCUACUUGCACCUUUAGUCACAAGACAGCACCAGCAGUCUCGAAGCAGAAGGAAGUGUGGCAUGAAUCUCAGAUGAAGUGUUGUUUCAGCGAGUUGUCUGCAAUCCUGAAUCCUGAUGGUUGCCUGCAUGACAAUAGCACACAACUGUACAUCAUCACUGAUAUUGCUAGUAGCGGUUCACCACUGUCGAGCAAGGUUACCACACUACAUCAAUUUCAGUCUAUUGGAUACUUGGCAUCACCAUGGGACCAUGGUCAACAUGCAACUAUUGUUCACGAGCGCAAGGUUUCUUGGUCUAGUUCUAUGUUUCUGCAGGAUGGGAAGUUUCAGAAUGUUAUGGUCGUCAUGGUCAAACUCAAGCCUUGGCCCUCUUGGAGGUUGUGUUUAUUGGGUGAUCUGGAGUUGAGCAAAUUAUUUAUGGUCCUUCACUUUACUUCAGCAGUUUUAAGCAAUAUUCCUGAAUGUUUGAUCGCAUCACCAAGGUCGCAGUCAGUGCCACUACUGCCAAUGCUUGAUGAAGCUCUUGGAAUCCAUUGGAAAAUUUCAUGGCCAGUUCAUUUUUCAGUCAGUGCCACUACUGUCAAUGGUAACAUGACUGAACCUAUCUACUUCACUUGGGUUCCCAAAGAGUUAAUUCCUUCUGGACUUGAUCCUUCGCGCAGCAACUUGUCUUUCGGUGCUAACUACUUUGAGAAGCUUGGAAUUCCAAGACACUUAAUUAGAUUAUUAUCUUGGCGCAUCCAACGACUGCUAGAAUUGUUGAACUACACUACAUUAUCUGAGGAAUUCCUUGUCAGUUUUGUUGUGCCCAUCUACUGGCCUGAUACCGCUCUUAUGCUAUAUGGGUUUGAGCUGCGGCAAUGGAAGAUUGCUUAUCUUUUAGUGAUGCAUUAUCAGAUUCAGCACGCGUUCAGUGGAAAAUUGCUUGGUCACUUUGCUAUGCAUGUUCUGUUAUUGGCAAUGGCAACAUCUCGAGGCGAAGCAUAUGUGAUUAUGGAACAAAAUUGA
rnacentral:rRNA from 1 species